UAUGUCCUGGGCUCUGAGAGCAGCACGAGGCUUGGAGGCCCUGGCAGAGCCCUGGCAGAGAGAUCUUCGGCAAGAUAGGCAUCUCUGCUACCUGACAGGAGGAGACCCCCAGCAGGGCUUGGACUCAUCUGAAUAGAAGGAUGAGCAGCUGGCUUGGGAGAUGGGCAAAGUGAGGAGCUGGAGGGGAUAGGACAUGGCUGAAGGCUGAGGUGUGCAGCCUCCAGCAUCUCUCUUCUUUACAAGCUGGAUCCCUACAAGGACAUUCUCAAGCUGAUUCAUAUGGAGAGCACUUUAAGGAUUAUUUUAAGCCUGAGGACAUCCCUGGUGGCACAGUGGUUAAGAAUCUGCCUGCCAAUGCAGGGGACACGGGUUCGAGCCCUAGUCCAGGAAGAUCCCACAUGUCGCAGAGCAGCUAAGCCCAUGCGCCACGACUACUGAGCCUGCAACUACAGAAGCCCGUGUGCGCCUAGAGCCCGUGCUCCACAACAAGAGAGGCCACCGCAGUGAGAAGCCCGUGCACCGCAACGAAGAGUAGCCCCCGCUCACCGCAACUAGAGAAAGCCCGUGCGCAACAAUGAAGACCCAACGCAGCCAAAAACUAAUUAAUUAAUUAAUUUUAAAAAACAAAAAACGAAAAAACUCUGAGUCUUCUUUCUUGGUGUGACCAACAUAGCCUGCGAGGUGGCAUUAUUAAACCUUUGCAGGUGAGGAGACUAAGAGAGAUGAACUUCCUGGCGUGGCCCAGUGUAGGGGAAUUCUCCACCAGGGCCUGGGUUUCUCAGGCCGUCUGCAGCUGCCACUGUGGGUUGACCCCCAUUCUGGAUGCAUUUCUUGGAUUAGCAUCGCUGGAGUGGGGGAGCGGGGAGGGAGGAAAAGGACACAUUACACUGAAAAGGGGAAAUGGAAAUGCAAGAGGGGAAACUGAGUGAGAGAAAGUCGGGAUGGAAAAUGAAGGAAGCUCCUGCCAAGGCACUGAGCUCAGGGAGGAGCUGGGCCCAUAGAGGAGAGGGCAGACUUGGUGGGGGGCUCUGUCAGGACUGAAAUCCUGACACGGGCUCAGCAAGAGAAACCUGCAGAGUCCCGAUGGACUUACAGAAGCUUCCUCUCCGACAGCUAGGUGCAGAGCCCUACCCCGCUUCUACUGGCCCCCCCAACUCUGCACUUCGCAAGACUCUCCUGUCGUCAGCUCCUCUGUAUCUGGUGUCCCUCUUGGCUCUGGUGUCCUCUGUAUCUGGUGUCCCAGCAGUCACACAGCAUUCUAGGAAUGCAUUCUUUCCAGUUUCCUGCACUGGUUUUCCAGAUCACCUCGGAAGUGCCUUUAAAUAUGAGGCUCUGGACUUGGAGGGCAUCAUGCUAAGUGAAGUAAGUCAGAGAAAGAUAAAUACUGUAUGUUAUCACUUAUAUAUGGACACUAAAAAAUACAAAAAACUAGUGAAUAUGACAAAAACGAAGCAGACUCACAGAUAUAGGGAACAAAUUAGU